rnacentral:rRNA from 1 species
UCGAGAGGCUUCGGCAAUGGGGGAAACCCUGACCGAGCGACGCCGCGUGGGCGAUGACGGCCUUCGGGUUGUAAAGCCCUUUCAGGUGGGAAGAAAGGCGAAUGGGUGAAUAAUCCAUUUGCUGUGACGGUACCACCAGAAGAAGCUCCGGCUAACUCCGUGCCAGCAGCCGCGGUAAUACGGGGGGAGCAAGCGUUGUUCGGAUUCAUUGGGCGUAAAGGGCGCGUAGGCGGCUUUGUAAGUCCGACAUGAAAUGUACCGGUUCAACCGGGGCACUGUGUCGGAAACUGCUUGGCUAGAGGUCGAGGGAGGAAAGUGGAAUUCCUGGUGUAGCGGUGAAAUGCGUAGAUAUCAGGAGGAACACCCGUGGCGAAGGCGGCUUUCUAUCUCGAACCUGACGCUGAGGCGCGAAAGCUAGGGGAGCAAACGG